UUUUUCUCAGCCCUGAGAACAAUUCUCAGGUUACGGAUCCAAUCCGAGUAAUUUGUUCCAUUCAACUUGUCCUUCUCAAGGACUGAACGCAAAGCAAACGGUGUAGUGCUGCUAGGUGCCAUUUAAUCUACAACAAAGUAAUGCAAAAUACACUAAGACAAACGUAUCCAUGAUAGAGCAAAUCACAUUAAACUAUUUUAACAAAAUCUACUCCCACUAAAAUCAAUAUCCCUCUAUGAUGAGGACACCACAAGUACAUCUACACCAGCAGCACCUCAGGCGCCUCCAGUUGCUCCUCCACCUCAGGCGCCUACAGUUGAUCUUCCAGUUGGGCCAAUCACUCGGGCCCGUGCGAGAGAAUUAAACUUCAUCAUGG
rnacentral:lncRNA from 1 species